rnacentral:rRNA from 1 species
CAGUCGCCGCGGGAAUACGAAGGGGGCUAGCGUUGUUCGGAUUUACUGGGCGUAAAGGGUGCGUAGGCGGAUUGUUAAGUCAGGGGUGAAAUCCCGAGGCUCAACCUCGGAACUGCCUUUGAUACUGGCGAUCUUGAGUCCGGGAGAGGUGAGUGGAACUGCGAGUGUAGAGGUGAAAUUCGUAGAUAUUCGCAAGAACACCGGUGGCGAAGGCGGCUCACUGGCCCGGAACUGACGCUGAGGCUCGAAAGCGUGGGGAGCAAACAGGAUUAGAUACCCCCGUAGUCCCUGUCUCUUAUAC